rnacentral:rRNA from 1 species
GACGAACGCUGGCGGCGUGCUUAACACAUGCAAGUCGAACGGAAAGGCCCUGCUUUUGUUGGGUGCUCGAGUGGCGAACGGGUGGGUAACACGUGAGUAACCUGCCCUUGACUUUGGGAUAACUUCAGGAAACUGGGGCUAAUACCGGAUAGGAGCUCCUGCUGCAUGGUGGGGGUUGGAAAGUUUCGGCGGUUGGGGAUGGACUCGCGGCUUAUCAGCUUGUUGGUGGGGUAGUGGCUUACCAAGGCUUUGACGGGUAGCCGGCCUGAGAGGGUGACCGGCCACAUUGGGACUGAGAUACGGCGCAGACUCCUACGGGAGGCAGCAGUGGGGAAUAUUGCACAAUGGGCGGAAGCCUGAUGCAGCAACGCCGCGUGCGGGAUGACGGCCUUCGGGUUGUAAACCGCUUUCGCCUGUGACGAAGCGUGAGUGACGGUAAUGGGUAAAGAAGCACCGGCUAACUACGUG